AACGUAGGAGACAAACGUUAUCCGGAGUUACUGGGCGUAAAGAGCUCGUAGGCGGUCCGUCGCGUCGGCUGUGAAAACUCAGGGCUCAACCCUGAGCCUGCUUCCGAUACGGGCAGACUAGAGGUAUGCAGGGGAGAACGGAAUUCCUGGUGUAGCGGUGAAAUGCGCAGAUAUCAGGAGGAACACCGGUGGCGAAGGCGGUUCUCUGGGCAUUACCUGACGCUGAGGAGCGAAAGUGUGGGGAGCGAACAGG
rnacentral:rRNA from 1 species